AUUUGAUUUGCCCAUUUCUCGACCAGAAAAUUUCUGGUUUUGAAAUCUGUAGUAGUGAACAUGCCGGUGGUUUUUUUUCUUUCGAUGAAUAUACACUGUUUGAAGUUUGAUGGCACUAAGGAGAUGCGGAGUUACGCAAGCACUUGGAAGAUUAAUAAGUACAUAAAAUCCGGCUCAUGGUUAGGCUAUUUUCGUGUUUGAUUAGGACACAAAGGAGGUACCGGUUGAGGGUAGUCUGAUCGUGACAUGACGAUUUCAUGUCACUCUAACUUCAAUCUUGGGGCUAUUUUCAUGUUAUGGUUGCCGACGUGGUACAUAGACUAUAAUGUACUUGGCUAAUGGAUGAUUCAGUUUGGUGUUUAUCAAUGGUGUGGAUGUGAGAAACUUUAUAAACUUAGGUAACAAUUUAUAUUUGUGAUUCCUCGAUAUCCUUACAUGCAUUCUUUUUAUUCAUUUUAUAGUUAUUAUAGAACUUUGAUAAUAAUAACAUUAUAGAAGGUUGUCUUCAUUUA